UGGGGAAUAUUGGACAAUGGGCGAAAGCCUGAUCCAGCCAUGCCGCGUGUGUGAAGAAGGUCUUCGGAUUGUAAAGCACUUUAAGUUGGGAGGAAGGGCAUUAACCUAAUACGUUAGUGUUUUGACGUUACCGACAGAAUAAGCACCGGCUAACUCUGUGCCAGCAGCCGCGGUAAUCAAGAGGGUGCAAGCGUUAAUCGGAAUUACUGGGCGUAAAGCGCGCGUAGGUGGUUUGUUAAGUUGGAUGUGAAAUCCCCGGGCUCAACCUGGGAACUGCAUUCAAAACUGACUGACUAGAGUAUGGUAGAGGGUGGUGGAAUUUCCUGUGUAGCGGUGAAAUGCGUAGAUAUAGGAAGGAACACCAGUGGCGAAGGCGACCACCUGGACUAAUACUGACACUGAGGUGCGAAAGCGUGGGGAGCAAACA
rnacentral:rRNA from 1 species